CCCGCAUGUGUGCCUGUGCACCGCAGGCGUG
rnacentral:piRNA from 1 species